CUGUUAACUCUCAACAGACUUACACAUGCAAGCAUCCACGCCCCGGUGAGUAACGCCCUCCAAAUCAAUAAGACUAAGAGGAGCAGGUAUCAAGCACACAUCUUGUAGCUUACAACGCCUCGCUUAACCACACCCCUACGGGAGACAGCAGUGACAAAAAUUAAGCCAUAAACGAAAGUUUGACUAAGCCAUGUUGACCAGGGUUGGUAAAUCUCGUGCCAGCCACCGCGGUCAUACGAUUAACCCAAGCUAACAGGAAUACGGCGUAAAACGUGUUAAAGCACUACAUCAAAUAGAGUUAAAUUCUAAUUAAACUGUAAAAAGCCAUAAUUACAACAAAAAUAGAUGACGAAAGUAACCCUACUGCAGCUGAUACACUAUAGCUAAGACCCAAACUGGGAUUAGAUACCCCACUAUGCUUAGCCCUAAACACAAAUAAUUACAGAAACAAAAUUAUUCGCCAGAGUACUACCGGCAACAGCCCGAAACUCAAAGGACUUGGCGGUGCUUUAUACCCUUCUAGAGGAGCCUGUUCUAUAAUCGAUAA
rnacentral:rRNA from 1 species